rnacentral:rRNA from 1 species
CCCUUAGAUGUCCUGGGCUGCACGCGCGCUACACUGAUGUGUCCAGUAAGCACCUAACCUCUACCGAAAGGAACGGGUAACCUUUGCAAAGCACAUCGUGAUGGGGAUAGAUUAUUGCAAUUAUUAGUCUUGAACGAGGAAUUCCUAGUAAGCACAAGUCAUCAGCUUGUGUUGAUUACGUCCCUGCCCUUUGUACACACCGCCCGUCGCUCCUACCGAUUGAAUGUUCCGGUGAGCUCUUCGGACUGCGCGGUCUGCAGUUUCUGCGUUCCGUGCGGAAAGUUGCGCAAACCUUAACAUUUAGAGGAAGGAGAAGUCGUAACA